CAAACGCAAAUGCCUCACCAGUGAGCACCGGACUGCCACGAUACAGACUCACUGCUAUAAAGUCAUCUAAUCUGUGGAAGGAACAGUUUCUUGCUGAAUAAAUACACAUGUGAAACCGUCACUAAGCUUAUAGGCAAAGGCAGUUUAAACCAUUGAAUAAAUAUGAAAAUGUUUGUCAUUUAAAAAAUAGAUUCUAGAAAAGAAUCAAAGGGUACAGAUAACAGACAUUUCUGGCUGGAACUGACGGUGUGUGACCAACUGCAGCAGCCAGGGAACAAUGGCUCCGAGGAGAGAGAGUCACAACGUCCAGCGAUUCCUGGAGCUCCAGCCCAGCCGGCCAUCCGAGUCCUCCGUCCGCUCACCGAGCUGUGCUGGAAACUAACCUGUCACGGUGGAACUGAGCCCGAGGGAGGUGCCACAAAGUGAAACUGGCUUCUGGAUCUGCCGGGUGAGAGUGAAAGUAAAGGUCACUUUUUGGUCCCCUGAGACCAAGACGCGACGGCAGCUCAUCCCUCAGCCCUGCAUCCUUCCUUCCGAGCCCCGGAUCACGCAGACCUUACAGAGUCUUCAUACGGAGUGGUGAACACCACCAGUUUCUCAUCUUUGUUCAUGAGCUGUCCGCACGGAAUCUAAAAGAAAAAAAAAUGAAGGACGUGAGGCUCAGACGUGUCUCAAAUGAAGUUUACUAUCCCAGCCAGAUGCGAGAAGACAGACCACAAGCUUACCUUCUGCCGGGUCCUAAUCAAAGUGACAAAGGAGACAAUUGGACAAAAGAUACUCUGCAAUCAAAGGGCUUCUCUUUCAAGUGGAAGCAAAUAAAUAAAAUAAAGCCCACCCUGAGGACACAGGCCUUGUCAA